rnacentral:rRNA from 1 species
GAGUUUGAUCCUGGCUCAGAGCGAACGCUGGCGGCAGGCUUAACACAUGCAAGUCGAGCGCCGUAGCAAUACGGAGCGGCAGACGGGUGAGUAACACGUGGGAACGUACCUCUUGGUUCGGAACAACACAGGGAAACUUGUGCUAAUACCGGAUAAGCCCUUACGGGGAAAGAUUUAUCGCCGAGAGAUCGGCCCGCGUCUGAUUAGCUAGUUGGUGAGGUAACGGCUCACCAAGGCGACGAUCAGUAGCUGGUCUGAGAGGAUGAUCAGCCACACUGGGACUGAGACACGGCCCAGACUCCUACGGGAGGCAGCAGUGGGGAAUAUUGGACAAUGGGCGCAAGCCUGAUCCAGCCAUGCCGCGUGAGUGAUGAAGGCCUUCGGUUGU